CCUAACUCUGUCACUAGUCACCCCCUCCCUCUCUCUGUCACUAGUCACACCUUCCCUCACACUGUCACUAGAGUGAGGGGGUGACUAGUGAUAGAGUGAGGGAAGGGGUGACUAGUGGCAGAGUGAGGGAAGGGGUGACUAGUGGCAGAGUGAGGGAAGGAAGGGGUGACUAGUGACAGAGUGAGGGAAGGAAGGGGUGACUAGUGACAGAGUGAGGGAGGUGGUGAGUGUCACUAGUCACCACCUGUCACUACUCCCUCCCUCCUUUUGUCACUAGUCACCCCUCUGUCCCUCACUCUGUCACUAGUCACCCCCUAACUCACUCUGUCACCAGUCAUCCCCUCUAUCACUCUGUCACCAGUCAUCCCCUCUAUCACUCUGUCACCAGUCAUCCCCUUCUGUCACCAGUCACCCCUUCAUUCCUCACUCUGCCAG